CUUCCAGCAUCAACAUGAGUUCAUCAUGGAUCACAGAGAUUCAUCAAGAAACAGAACAUGAAUUGAUACUUGUGUAUUUUCUCCACAGCUGUUAAACAGCAGAUAACAGUGUGUGUUUGUGAGUUCAGCAUCAAGCUGAGUGUGUUUGUGGAACAUGAAUGUGUUGGAGUGUUUGUGCAUCAUGUGACCCAGAUUCUCUUCAUCUGCUGUCAGAUUCAAAUCAGGAAGAUGAAACCACACAGCAGCUUCAGCUGAGCUGUCCGUCUGCAGCAGCAGUCUUCUCUGUGAGCUGCAGGGGCUGAUGGGAGCUUGGAGGAGGAGUCCCAAAGAACGUGGUCCUGCUCUCAUCUCACAGCUCUCAGGUCCUUCUUUGUCCUCAGCUGCAUCAGAACACCACUUCUCCUCAGGUUGAGCAGAGGAAACACGGCUGAACAAAAUGCUUUUCCUCCCAGCUGCUGCUCUGUGCUGUCUGUGUUCAGCACUGGUUGCCAUGGCAGCAGAACUGAUUCAGGAGGAUUUAACAUUGACCAGGAGAGUUGGUGAAAGUGUCUCUUUCAGCUGUGGAGGAAUUCAGCAGUGUGAU